rnacentral:lncRNA from 1 species
GGAGCUAAGGACCUGUGCCUCCCACUGGCCCGGAACCACUUUCUGCUUCCUGGUGUAAGCUUUGGUAUGGAUGGUGUGGUGAGGAGCAAACGCUCAGCAGUGAAGAAGGACCCUUUGUAACCGCAAAGGAGCCUGUGAGUGUGAGGUAUGGUUGUUAUCAACGCUAAGGGCAGUCUUUUGCCUUCUGCGGGGGUGACGACCAUCCUUCUCCCUGCCCCAGCCCCACAGUGGAAGGAGAACAUAAGUCACCUCCAGAGAUUAUCACAUGCAGUGGAUUGCCUUCAGCCUUUUUUCUGGAUAUAAAAUAUACAUAUACGUAUUUUAAUACAAUUGUG